CACACACACUCUGACCGUGUCUCUGUCCCGCAGGAGCUGGACGCUCCGUUCCGUCUCUACGGUCUGACCAUGAAUCCUCUGCUGUAUAACAUCACUCAGGUGGUGAUUCUGUCGGCCGUGUCGGGGGUCAUCAGUGACCUGCUGGGCUUCAACCUGAAGCUGUGGAAGAUCAAAUCCUGAGUUCAUCUUCAUCUCAAACACAUGGUGGCGCUGUUUCCCCUCGACGGGCUCCUGACGGUGAACUCUUGACCCGGUGUGCGGUCAUAUCAGAGUGCUUGUGCAAUUCAGCUAUUUAUUUGACCCUUUCAGUGUUUGUUUUUUAUUCUGAAGUAUUUGUUUUAGUUGUUACGAUUGUUUUAAGUAUUAUUUUAGCUCCUGAUGUGACGUUCUCAUAGGAAAGAUGAUCAGUGCAGUCUGAUCUGAGUUACUGAAACCAACAGAAAAGGCCCAUCAUGACACACACACACACACACACACACACACACACACACACACACACACAACUGAAACUGAGUUUCAUCUGAUGGGCUGCAGUUUUUCAGCUUUGUUUUUAUUUUCAGCAAUAAGUGUCAGUGAGUUCAGAUGAACAUUGAUUCAGGAGCUUCCCGUGUCGUCUGUGACCCACACACACUCGGUCAGUCUGUAAACACGUGUGUGUGUGUGUGUGUGUGUCAGCUAUGAAAGCUUCGAAAUGUGCACUUUAAAGCAGAAAAUGUUACAGAGUCAAUGGUUCAGUCCUUCUUGUGUCUUGUACGUGACACGAGACCGACGGCGUAACGACCAAAGUGUUUUUCUUUUUCCUUCGUAUUCUUUUUUUGCUGGAGAUGAAUGUAUUCGACUCUCUGUAAAGGAGACUGACAGUUACCUUUUGUUGUUGUGAUGCUGUUUUAAGUUUGAUUCAUAUAGAUUCAUAUUUCUGUUCAUGGAGGGAAAAUGUUCUGUUAUAAAGAAACACUAUUUAAAGAAAUGGAGAAACUGCACGUCUUGUUCACUUCAGAGAGAAUCUUGUGUUUCUGGAUGUUUCUCAGAUGAAGGUACGGCCAGCUUCACCAGAAUCUUGUGCUGGUCAAACUUAUAUUUCAACACACUGUACAAAAUAAAUCUCAUGAAAAGUG